UUCACAGGCCCCCCGAGGACUAAGUAGACCCCAGGUACAGAAUUCCUGGACCACCUAUUCCUGAAUGAAGGUGGGGAGAGAUCGAUGUUCCCAGCGCCAGUGGCACGGGCUCAUCCCGAUGGGGAGAGAGAGAACAGUGACGGGAGCCCAAGACUGUCAUUCAUCUUCUCCUGUUUGUGGGCCCUCUGCCAGACAGGAGUGUGACACCAAAGCAGCUGGAAAAGGUGUGCCCGGAGGAGGGAGUAAGCACAGCAGUGGAAUCAGAGAGGAAGUACCACAGCAUGGAAGAGGAGAAGGAAUAUUUGGAGGCAGAUAACCUUGGUGAGGAAUCUCAGCCUUAGGCAAUUUCACCUUUCUGUGGCCUCAAUUUCUUCAUGAAUAAAGUGAUGAGGUUAGACCA
rnacentral:lncRNA from 1 species